rnacentral:rRNA from 1 species
GUGAACGCUGGCGGUAGGCCUAACACAUGCAAGUCGAACGGCAGCACAGUAAGCGCUUGCUCUUACGGGUGGCGAGUGGCGGACGGGUGAGGAAUACAUCGGAAUCUACUUUUUCGUGGGGGAUAACGUAGGGAAACUUACGCUAAUACCGCAUACGACCUACGGGUGAAAGCAGGGGAUCUUCGGACCUUGCGCGAUUGAAUGAGCCGAUGUCGGAUUAGCUAGUUGGCGGGGUAAAGGCCCACCAAGGCGACGAUCCGUAGCUGGUCUGAGAGGAUGAUGACAUACAGUGUAAGAGAGAACGAGCCGAGACUCCGGGGGGGGGAAGCGGUGGGGAAUAUUGAGGGAGGGGGGAGAGCGGAAUCCUGCAAUACGGGGGGAGGAAAGAGGGCGUGGGGGUUGGAAAGUCUUUUUGGGGGAAGAGAAGAAAAGCUGUUUAACCCCCGAUGGUUAUGACGGUACCGAAAGAAUAAGCUCCGGCUAACUCCGUG